UGUUGGUCUUCAUGGCGGGGUCGAAAUUUAAAAUCCCGGGGGCUUAACAGCGCAACUGCUCUUGUCUUAAAUGUUUGGAAAAGUUAAGAGACACCGGGACGAUCGCGUUCAACGACAGGAGGAGCUCGGCGACUCCGUGAGAAAGAACAACGCCCUCCUGUAAGCUGUGGGGAAAAGACACUGGGAGAACUUCGUCCUUUAAAACCCACCGAGAAAAGUAGAUCUACGAACCAGUAAGACUCAUUUUUCUAUUUAUUCUGUGUUUUUGGAUGGCCGCCGCGCCGCUCUCUCACAAACACGCACACAUGCACACACACUGACUUUUACAUCCUCCCCUCUUUUUCUCUUUGCUGUGUAUUGAAGGUGCAUUGUCAUGACUGCUGUGUCAUGGCUAUUUAUUUGUCAGCUUGAAAUGGUUUUUUGUGAUUUUGCUUGGCUGCUGCACCACGACUGUUUUUUUUAACAACACCCGUUUGACCGACAUAGCCAUAGUCUGCGCAUCCAAUUUGAACAUGGCCACCAAAUUAUUUCGUCCGUCCGUCCAACAUGGCCACCUAUUCGUUUGUCUCUGUCUAUUUCUCUUUGUUUUUCUUCUGUGUUGAGUAACAGAAAUCAGAUCUCUUAAUUGUGUCGGGAGGGAUGGCCUUCCAACACAAUUGGAGCAUUUAGAAGCCUUGUUGUUUGGAUCGUGAACUUAUUUAAAGGACUGUUGAGUGGUGAGAAGUUUGGAGAUAAAUGAUGUCGCUUUUGUUUUUUGGACCUUAAAUACAUAGUAAAAAAGAGACUGGCUCUGUUUUUGCUAAGCUAGUGAUAGUUGGACCAGGAAGAUUGAGAUGGAGGAAGAUUGUCAGAGCUGGGCUGAGACUGAAGGGACUCUUUCAGGGCUCUGUGGUGGGUCAGACAGGUUUUAUGUUAGAUAGUAGAUAGUUUAUUGGUUCAUAGUUGCACUGAUGAUGAUAGGAGUGGAGAGUUUUUAGUGUGGUAUUUUGUGUUAAAAGUAAGAGGAUGUAUUGAAGGUCAUGGCAAUCAGACUAUUGAUUUCUGUCUGUCUAAUAAGCUUGGAUCAAUGUUUGUGCACUAACCCCUUUACUUUGUAGGUAAAGCUACAAUCGGUGAGUCCCAUUUUUAUAUUCUUUAAUUCUAAGUUGUGUUUUUGGAUGGUCACCAUGCCUUCCUGUUUGUCUCUCUACAGUAGGGCUGAACAAUUAAUCAAAAUAUUAGGCUUGUUUGUUUGGUAAGAAUUGCAGUAUCCUUCAACCCUACUCUAGAUUUAUGUUAAAAUGACUUUUAGACUAUAAUAAAAAUCCAUUAGGGUUAUCUGUUUCUUCUUGUCAAUGCAUCAUCACACAAACACACGUCCUUUGUUAUCAUAGCUGGUUAUAUUCACUGUUCAGAAUUAAAGUACAUUCUAGAUCCUUGGCCAAAUGUAUUAAUUGGCCUUAAAUACACAAUGAGUUUUAUUAACUUAGAACUGGUUUCAACAUCAAACAAUCCAAAGCUUGUGUCAAAUCACUGGAACAAAAAAUCGGUCCGUGCGCACGUGUGUCCGAUAUUACCGCCUACUUGUUCAUCCAACGUGUCUGCACAUCCAUCGUCCAACAUUUAUUUUCCCGGUGGACCUUCAAACAGAAUUUCUUUGUGGAUCUUCAACAGGUACUAGUAGAUCUUCAAAAGUAAGUGCUGUUUUUUUUCCUUCAUGUGCUGGGGUUUUACUUGGCUGCUGUGGCAAAACUAACUAAUGAAUUUCAAUUUCAGCCUUCAUCUGGACUUCAUCCUACAAAAGAAAAGGAUUGCGUCUUUGUUUGUUUUGUUUGUUUGUUAUUUUUUUUGUUAUUUUGGGGCCGCUGUGCCAUCUUUAAUCUCUAUCCCUCACCCUUUUAACUCAGCCACCGUGCUGAUCUAACGAUCUAUCCCUUUCCUCGUUUAUCCGUCCAACAUGGCCGACCACUUGUUAAAACUUAGAUGUUUAGAUGAUAUCUGUUCUUAUCAUCUAAACAUUUAUAUUUUUAUAUCUAUAAAGUGCCAUUUCUCUUCAUUGUAUUGGCAGGAUUUUAAUUACUAAUUAAUGAAUAUAGAUGACUGCAGGAAUGGGUCUCCCACCCAUGAUGUAUUUUUUUAUUUUUUAUUUUUUUUGUGUGUGUGUGUGAGACAGGGAAUGAAUUUUAUGUAGUCUCUAGAGUCUCUAUUCAGCCUGUUGUCUGUCCAUCUUGUGUUUGUCCAUCUUUUGUCCAUGUUUUUGAUGGCCGCUGUGCUAUCGCUUGUGGCAGCACCUGUCUGCCUUUGUCUUUGUGUCUAUCAAUUUAUGUGUGCGCGUCCGUCGAGCAUGUGCUGUGGUUUUCCUUGGCCGCCGUGUGAAGCAAAAUCACAGUGCCAUGACUGCCUAUUUCCUUUUUUUGCCAUUUAUCCAUCCAAGAGGACAUCCAUCCAUGACAAUUGGCCAUCCGUCCGUCUACCCGUCUUAGUCUGUAUAAUCGGUGUCUCUUUUUGCUGGUGAAUCUACAAACAAGUAAGUCCUGUGUUUGCUUAAUUAUGGCCGCCAUGCCAGCCUUUUUUUUCCCCUGUCUCUCACACUAACACGUGCACACACACUGAUCCUUACACUCCCUAUCCACUGUCUUUUUUUCCCAAUUGUGUCUUGGCCGCUGUGCCUCUCAAAAACAC